AUUGAACGCUGGCGGCAUGCUUUACACAUGCAAGUCGAACGGUAACAGGUUAAGCUGACGAGUGGCGAACGGGUGAGUAAUGCAUCGGAACGUGCCCGAUCGUGGGGGAUAACGCAGCGAAAGCCGCGCUAAUACCGCAUACGAUCUGAGGAUGAAAGCGGGGGACCGUAAGGCCUCGCGCGAUCGGAGCGGCCGAUGUCAGAUUAGGUAGUUGGUGGGGUAAAGGCCCACCAAGCCGACGAUCUGUAGCUGGUCUGAGAGGACGACCAGCCACACUGGGACUGAGACACGGCCCAGACUCCUACGGGAGGCAGCAGUGGGGAAUUUUGGACAAUGGGCGCAAGCCUGAUCCAGCCAUUCCGCGUGCAGGACGAAGGCCUUCGGGUUGUAAACUGCUUUUGUACGGAACGAAAAGGCUCUGGUUAAUACCUGGGGCUCAUGACGGUACCUAUAGAAUAAGGACCGGCUAACUACGUGCCAGCAGCCGCCGUAA
rnacentral:rRNA from 1 species